rnacentral:rRNA from 1 species
CGCGUAGGUGGUUUGUUAAGUUGAAUGUGAAAGCCCCGGGCUCAACCUGGGAACUGCAUCCAAAACUGGCAAGCUAGAGUAUGGUAGAGGGUGGUGGAAUUUCCUGUGUAGCGGUGAAAUGCGUAGAUAUAGGAAGGAACACCAGUGGCGAAGGCGACCACCUGGACUGAUACUGACACUGGGGUGCGAAAGCGUGGGGAGCAAACAGGAUUAGAUACCCUGGUAGUCCACGCCGUAAACGAUGUCAACUAGCCGUUGGGAGCCUUGAGCUCUUAGUGGCGCAGCUAACGCAUUAAGUUGACCGCCUGGGGAGUACGGCCGCAAGGUUAA